GAUGAACGCUGGCGGCGUGCCUAAUACAUGCAAGUCGAGCGAACAGACGAGGAGCUUGCUCCUCUGACGUUAGCGGCGGACGGGUGAGUAACACGUGGAUAACCUACCUAUAAGACUGGGAUAACUUCGGGAAACCGGAGCUAAUACCGGAUAAUAUAUUGAACCGCAUGGUUCAAUAGUGAAAGACGGUUUUGCUGUCACUUAUAGAUGGAUCCGCGCCGCAUUAGCUAGUUGGUAAGGUAACGGCUUACCAAGGCAACGAUGCGUAGCCGACCUGAGAGGGUGAUCGGCCACACUGGAACUGAGUCACGGUCCAGACUCCUACGGGAGGCAGCAGUAGGGAAUCUUCCGCAAUGGGCGAAAGCCUGAUGGAGCAACGCCGCGUGAGUGAUGAAGGUCUUCGGAUCGUAAAACUCUGUUAUUAGGGAAGAACAAAUGUGUAAGUAACUAUGCACGUCUUGACGGUACCUAAUCAGAAAGCCACGGCUAACUACGUG
rnacentral:rRNA from 1 species